rnacentral:rRNA from 1 species
GAUGAACGCUGGCGGCGUGCCUAAUACAUGCAAGUCGAGCGAACAGGACAGGAGCUUUGUCCCCCGACGGUAGCGGGGGAAGGGGGGGGAACAAGUGGAUAACCUAACUAAUAGACUGGGAUAAACUCGGGGAAACGGGGCUAAUUCCGGAUAAUAUAUUUAAACGCAAUGGUCAAUAGUGAAAGACGGUUUUGGUGUCACUUAUAGAUUGAUCCGCGCCGCAUUAGCUAGUUGGGAAGGUAACGGCUUACCAAGGCAACGAUGCGGAGCCGACCUGAGAGGGUGAUCGGCCACACUGGAACUGAGACACGGUCCAGACUCCUACGGGAGGCAGCAGUAGGGAAUCUUCCGCAAUGGGCGAAAGCCUGACGGAGCAACGCCGCGUGAGUGAUGAAGGUCUUCGGAUCGUAAAACUCUGUUAUUAGGGAAGAACAAAUGUGUAAGUAACUAUGCACGUCUUGACGGUACCUAAUCAGAAAGCCACGGCUAACUACGUG